GAGUAAUCCUUUUUAUUGAAUAUGGAGCCAUCUCGCAUGAAUAACAGUCGACAAAUCUAACUAGUUUUGAAAUUUUUUUUCAAAAUCUAAUUUCAAAAUCAUAUUUUUAUCAAAAUCUAACCAUGAUUAUUUUAAGAAUAAAAAUCACAAAUUUUGAAAUCUUUACAAGAAUAAUCGAGCGAUAACAACUGAUAUCCCAAUUAGUUCAAUCUAAGGUAUCUAAUUGAUCAAUCACAAUUUUAGGAUCAUGUUAGGAUGUCAGGAUGCAAUCAAUGGUAAAAUUUAAUGAUGCUCAAUCCGAUG
rnacentral:lncRNA from 1 species